UAUUUUCAGCGAUGGAUGUCUUGGCUCGCGCAACGAUGAAGGACGCAGUGAAAUGCGAAACGCAAUGUGAAUUGCAGAAUUCAGGGAAUCAUCAGAUUUCUGAACGCAAAUGGCACCUU
rnacentral:rRNA from 1 species